CCUACGGGAGGCAGCAGUAGGGAAUCUUCCACAAUGGACGAAAGUCUGAUGCAGCAACGCCGCGUGAGUGAAGAAGGUUUUCGGCUCGUAAAGCUCUGUUGGUAGUGAAGAAAAAUAGAGGUAGUAACUGGCCUUUAUUUGACGGUACUUACUUAGAAAGUCCCGGCUAACUACGUGCCAGCAGCCGCGGUAAUACGGAGGUGGCAAGCGUUGUCCGGAUUUAUUGGGCGUAAAGGGAGUGCAGGCGGUUCAAUAAGUCAGAUGUGAAAGCCUUCGGCUCAACCGGAGAAUUGCAUCAGAAACUGUUGAACUGGAGUGCAGAAGAGGAGGGUGGAACUCCAUGUGUAGCGGUGGAAUGCGUAGAUAUAUGGAAGAACACC
rnacentral:rRNA from 1 species